AUACAUAGAGGGUCCUUGUUUAAGAAGGUGGUUUUCCCAGGGCGAGGCUUAUCCAUUGCACUCCGGAUAUGCUGACCCCUGUGAUUUCCCCAAAUGCGGGGAAACUCGACUGCAUAAUUUGUGGCAGUGGGGGAGCAGCGUUCGCACACUCCCCCU